rnacentral:rRNA from 1 species
AAGUCGUAACAAGGUCUCCGUUGGUGAACCAGCGGAGGGAUCAUUAGCGAGUCUAACUCUCUAAAACCAUUGUGAACGAACUGCCACGUUGCUUUGGCGGGGUCAAACCCGCCGGCAGAACGCAAACUAUGUUAUAUUUGUUUCUCUGAGUAUACUUUUAAUAAGUAAAAACUUUCAACAACGGAUCUCUUGGUUCUGGCAUCGAUGAAGAACGCAGCGAAAUGCGAUAAGUAAUGUGAAUUGCAGAAUUCAGUGAAUCAUCGAAUCUUUGAACGCACAUUGCGCCCGCCAGUAUUCUGGCGGGCAUGCCUGUUCGAGCGUCAUUUCAACCAUCAAGCCCUGUGCUUGUGUUGGGGGCCUGCGGCUGCCGCAGCCCCCUAAAUUCAGUGGCGGGCUCGUCGUCGUACCGAGUGUAGUAAAUAUCCUCGCUCAGGAAACGCGGUGGGUUCCGGCCGUUAAAUGCCUAAUUAUCUAAGGUUGACCUCGGAUCAGGUAGGAAUACCCGCUGAACUUAA